rnacentral:rRNA from 1 species
AUGAUGGUCACGGGGGGCACCAUCAGGAAGCUCCACCGCACCUCGUACAGCUCCGCGAACGUGUCCUCCUCGCCGUCGUCCGCGCCGCCCGGCUUGGACGUGAGCGUGAAGGAGAUGUCCACGCCGGCGAUCACCUUGAGGAGGCCCUGCAGCACCGCCGCCGGGUGCGCGCUGGUGCCGCCGAUCACCCAGAACUGCUCGUUGCGCCACCACUCGUGCAGCGUGAUCCCGGACCACUUGAUCUCCAGCAGCGCCAGCAGGCACAGCGUGAUGGUGAUGAUGAGCAGGAAGACCAGGAACGUGGAGCUCAGGUGCUGGACGAUGAACUUGCCGGUGAAGAGGGAGACGGCCGGGAGCACGCAGUAG